AAUUCUCAAACCCCUUAUCUUUAUUGAUUUGAGGGGAUUUGGAUGUGGAAGCUUUGCGGGUCUCUGAUGAGAUCGGCUCUUCUGAAAUGCAUUAGCAAGGACCUAAUCUUUUGUUGCCCUUGGUGUGAUAAUUAUCUACGCUAUUGGCUUGAGAUGUGUGGUCUGGCUCCCUAAUUGUCUUUGGACAACUUUAUGACAU
rnacentral:misc_RNA from 1 species